rnacentral:rRNA from 1 species
CGAACGCUGGCGGCGUGCUUAACACAUGCAAGUCGAACGGUGACGGAGGAGCUUGCUCCUCCUGAUCAGUGGCGAACGGGUGAGUAACACGUGAGCAACCUACCCUCGACUCUGGGAUAACUUCGAGAAAUCGGAGCUAAUACCGGAUACGAGACGCGCAGGCAUCUGCAGCGUCUGGAAAGAUUUAUCGGUCGGGGAUGGGCUCGCGGCCUAUCAGCUAGUUGGUGAGGUAACGGCUCACCAAGGCGACGACGGGUAGCCGGCCUGAGAGGGCGACCGGCCACACUGGGACUGAGACACGGCCCAGACUCCUACGGGAGGCAGCAGUGGGGAAUAUUGCACAAUGGGCGAAAGCCUGAUGCAGCGACGCCGCGUGGGGGAUGAAGGCCUUCGGGUUGUAAACCCCUUUCAGCAGGGAAGAAGCGAAAGUGACGGUACCUGCAGAAGAAGCGCCGGCUAACUAC